UAGGAACAUUACUCAGCCCCCCCCACCCAACAACAACAACAACAAAUCACGUUGAGCGAAAUCGAGGACAAAACGCAGGGACAGUCAACGUUGACCAAGGAGAACCAAGAAUUUCAUGUAAAAGGAAUUACAAACAAUGAAAGAAGAUGGCCUCAUCAACAGAGGAUGAUGCCAUAACCGAAGUGGUAGAUGUUGAGAUCCCUAAGCAAGCGGUACAGGAACCAACUGUGGUUGCUGUAGAUGAUGAUAUAGCUCCCAUAGAUGUGUCUGUAUCAAGCCCCUCUGACCAUACAACUGAAAAUAUGAAAAUGUAGAUGCUAAAGAGGAAGAUCAAGAUGGAGGCUUUGGAAGAGGAGAGGGACUUUCUCCGCAAAACUGUUAACCAGUUGUAUGCAGCCACACCUACAAAAAGAAGGGAAGCAUGUCCGCUGCUUUCCACAGCGUGGGAGUGGAUCGCAACACUGUGGCGAUGAGUGCCCCUCUGGUAGAGAUCAUGCUUGUGGUGCCGGAGUUCCUUCAUUCACAGGCAGUGUUUGACAGCUCUAAAGAGACGCUCAACCAAUAUGCAAGGAGGAUCACCAAAAAUGCAACAGCAGAGGUGAGCUAUGCUAUAAAAUAGAAGAGGCGUAAUGAACUGCUCCCUAUUACUUAUAAGUUCAAAUAAACACUGAUUAUGCACACUCAUUCACACACCCGCACGUGCCCGCACACAUACACACACCGGGUAGAGAUAAUGUAAGAGUAAGAUAGUGUGUCCCUGCUGUAAAACAAUCAUAAAGAUGUUAGUCUGUUUUCUGAGAUGUGGUGCAAGGAACUGCUCCAUAUCCCCUAUAAACUUGAUUUUGCACACAUUUAUGUUUAAAUGUUAAGGAUACAGCAUGUUCUGGCUGUAAAUUCGAAACAAAAUAAACAAAAUAUUGUGAGUGGUUGACACUUGCUCCAGAUGUACAGUGAAGAGAGCCAUCUGUACAUGUUCCACAAAGAUAAUCACAUAAUUAAAUCAAAUUCUAAAAUCCAAAAGGAGCGAAUGAUUUUAGAAUGGCGGAGCGCCGUUCCUGAAUGCAUAUAGUGGAAACACUGCAAAAGACAUCUACAUGCCAACCCCUAACUAUAGAAUUCCCAAGUACUGUACUGGGUAUCUGCCAUAGUUGUAACAUAGUAACUACAUAGUGAUUACAUGAGUAAUUCACAAUGUGCUUCACUUAACAUUAAAUUGCUUGUUCCUGAGCAGAAACAUUGUAGUUACGAUACUUUUCUUUAUAACAUUGUAAUAAGUUACAUGUUGAUAUCCUGUGAAAUAUGUAAUUGCAUUGAAAGUAAAUUGUAAUUACACUUUUAGGUGCUGUAACAACAUUUAUUCUACAUUGAAGUGUAUUUUCCAAAUGAUUUUAAU